rnacentral:rRNA from 1 species
GAUGAACGCUAGCUACAGGCUUAACACAUGCAAGUCGAGGGGUAACGAGAGGAAAGCUUGCUUUCCUUGUCGACGACCGGCUCACGGGAGAGUAACGCGUAUCCAACCUGCCGCCAACUAGGGAAUAACCUUGCGAAAGUAAGACUAAUACCCUAUAAUUACCACAGAUGCCAUCUGACGAGGAAUAAAGAUUUAUCGGUUGUGGAUGGGGAUGCGUCUGAUUAGCUUGUUGGCGGGGUAACGGCCCACCAAGGCAACGAUCAGUAGGGGUUCUGAGAGGAAGGUCCCCCACAUUGGAACUGAGACACGGUCCAAACUCCUACGGGAGGCAGCAGUGAGGAAUAUUGGUCAAUGGGCGGAAGCCUGAACCAGCCAAGUAGCGUGCAGGAUGACGGCCCUAUGGGUUGUAAAUUGCUUUUAUACAGGAAUAAAGUUAGCCACGUGUGGUUAUUUGUAGGUACUGUAUGAAUAAGGACCGGCUAAUUCCGUGCCAGCCGCCGCCGUAA